GGUCACCCCACACUCGGUCUUGGCCAAUUUGCCUCCUGCCUUUAAGUUUCAAUUCAGUCUUCAGUCGAUGGCUGUGCCCUACUCUCUUCCUCUCUCAGCAGAACCAGUUAACCCAAUGUCUCUGCUGGCCAGCGUGGCACAAAGCAGUGACAAACAGGGCCUGCCAUGGCUAAAGCCAUCCCCAGAGCUUCCCCAGUGUCAGCAAACGCAUGCCCAGCUGUUCUUUCCCACACUGAGCAUUUCACAGUUUAUGGAGCUAAGAGGAUUUUGCUUUUCUCCUCUCUUUAAAUCCAGCACAGGGGCAGUUUAGUACUGGAUUCACUCCCUGUUACAAUGAGAAUAAUGGAGUAAUUGCUGUUUCCCAUCACAGAAUACUCAUGAUGCUUUCUAGCUAUGCAAACACCAGGUAAAAGGUCCUACAAGCCAGGAGGCAGCCCAGCUGCUUGGUGUGUGUAAACCCAAGCCAGCAAAGAGAUGGUGCUGGAGGGGACAUGGGCACAGCGAUCCCACCUCACUAGCUCCAGGUAUGAGACAAACCUCCAGCUCCUGCUCCCAGGGAAAGCUCCCAGCUGCUCAGGGAAGGACAGCCAAACCCACACGUUUGGGAAUGGGAAGAACGGGUCCCAGAGAAGCAGCAUCCUGCACCAGGGGUGUUGAGACCGCUUGGGGUGCACACAGCCUGCCAGGACCACAGAGCUGCCGUUCUGACCCCUUCUCCUUCCUUCUCUCUGCCGGCCAGGGCUCGACCGGUGCACUGAGACUCUGGCUGUUUUGUUCCAGGCAGCCGGAGCUCAUCAAGAGGAAGAAAGGCGCCUUGUCUUGGGGUUGUGGCUCUAAUCCUGUUAUGUGUCUGCAAGAGAAAAGAGGAUGACCGAGCGAGGAGGACAGACCCGGUGCCGCCGCCAAUUCCCAUCCCUUUGCACCCCGCAUCCUGUGCCAGCCCUUGCCCAGCCACAAAAGGCCGCCUCCCCUCCCUGCAAACUAACCAAGCAUUUAAAUUUAAUAGCGGUCUGCAGCCCCACCGUUUCACAGUGAUUAGGCCUUUGAUUAAAAUACCAUGUGUUGCUUGGCUGGCUGGGAAGCAAAUUCCACCCCAGGGCCCAGGAAAUCAGCUCUGGUGACUGGCACAUGGCACAGAGCGGAUGCACUUUGCUGUCCCUUCUGCUCUCUCUGUGUCAGACGAUGUGCUGACAGGGAGCCUGGCCCCUCUGGUAACCCCAAUGCACCCGCGUGUGCAAACCAUGCUCCUCCUUCCCUCAGUGCUCUGGCAAAGCCGGAGCAGGAGGAGAGCCUGAGGGCUGGGAACAUGCUGUCACCCAGGGGGGGAAACAGAGGCACAGCAAGGAAUGCUGGCCCCAGGGCGAGAAGGGGCUCUGGGGUUCAUGGGCAGCUGGAGUGAGAUGGGGGACAGAAGCUGUGUCUUCAUGCAGGAAGCAGGAGCGCACCGGGUAGACAGCAUCCUGCUGGACCCACAGCCACCAUGAGGAAGGAUCCCAGCCAGGAGGAGAUGAUUUCCAGAGCCCACCAUGCAGCCACACGUUUGCCGGUUGGUCUCACUCUUUGGCUGCUGUUUCCCUGUAUUUGGUUCCACCGACUCCCUUCAAGGGCAGCUGGAGAAGCAAGGAGCUGUGGGUUUUGGCUUGUGGUUGAAUCCAUCUCCGGAAGAAAUUGGCUCUUGUGGCAAGUGAGACGGAGCCGCAGCCGGAGGGGAGGGCAGUGGGAGGGUGGGGUGCCCUGGGCAGAGACCCCCCUCCACACUCAGUCCCAGGGCAGGGUGAAGGCAAUGGGGGCACGGGGCUGCUUCUCAUUUACACCAGCAGAAGCAAAGCCAACAUUGCCAAAGCUGCUGGGACAGCAGCGCCAGUUUCUUCUCUGAGCAGAUGGGAACAAGGAGCUGGGGAGGUGACAACCUUGGGGUGUUUUGGCUGCAGAGCUCAAAAUCCCACUGACAUCCUGAGCUGCUCCAUUGCAAGGAGGCGGCUGUGAGGAUGGUGCCAGUGACAGCUUCACCCCCUGUGCACCCAUCCCAUGAUUGGGAUGGGGAUGGAGCAGCCCCUGUGAGCAGGGAGCAGCCCAGGCACAUCCGUCAAACAUCCCAGGGGGUCCCCAAGCGUGUCUGGGAUGGCAACAACCCACAGGGAUCCCGCUCUGGUGGGAUGCAUUGCGCACCUAGCCCAGCAAAGCUGGGAAGGUCAAGGAGGGGGGACCAGGCACACGCCAUUCUCCCUGGGUGAUGCUCAGAUGGGACCCUUGGGAAGCAGGGAGUGAGGAGAUGCGGUCUCUGUGUCAGGAGAUCACUGGCGAGAGGCUUAACUUUAAAAAAAAAAUGGUUUAUUUCAA